AUUGAACGCUGGCGGCAGGCCUAACACAUGCAAGUCGAACGGUAACAGGAAACAGCUUGCUGUUUCGCUGACGAGUGGCGGACGGGUGAGUAAUGUCUGGGAAACUGCCUGAUGGAGGGGGAUAACUACUGGAAACGGUAGCUAAUACCGCAUAACGUCGCAAGACCAAAGAGGGGGACCUUCGGGCCUCUUGCCAUCGGAUGUGCCCAGAUGGGAUUAGCUAGUAGGUGGGGUAACGGCUCACCUAGGCGACGAUCCCUAGCUGGUCUGAGAGGAGGACCAGCCACACUGGAACUGAGAAACGGUCCAGACUCCUACGGGCGGCAGCAGUGGGGAAUAUUGCACAAUGGGCGAAAGCCUGAUGCAGCCAUGCCGCGUGUAUGAAGAAGGCCUUCGGGUUGUAAAGUACUUUCAGCGGGGAGGAAGGGAGUAAGGUCAAUACCUUUGCUCAUUGACGUUACCCGCAGAAGAAGCACCGGCUAACUCCGUGCCAGCAGCCGCCGUAA
rnacentral:rRNA from 1 species